GCGAAAUGUUUAUAUACAUCAAGGAGAUAUUUGCGUCUGGUUCACAUGACAUCACUUCUUAGCUAGCGAGUUGAUGGUAGAUCGUGACCAAGGGCUGAGACAUCCAGAUGCAUUACACCUGACCAGACUUUGGAAACACUGAAACAGGACUACUUGCCGGUCACUCAGUGCUGCGAUCCGUCCACGCGCAGCGAGGCGCGUGCCAGUGCGCCGCCGUACGACCACACUGCGACUGCACCGCGCAGUUAAACGACGCCCCGCUCGAGAAACUCCCCCCUCCUAGCGAGAAACCCCGCCGCGCAGACGUGACGACGGA